CCGAAUGGGGCAACCCAGCAUAUGGAGACAUAUGUUACCAGAAAUGGAGCUAACCCGGUGAAGUGAAACAUCUCAGUAACCGGAGGAAGAGAAAUCAAAUGAGAUUCCCAUAGUAGCGGCGAGCGAACUGGGAUUAGGACAAACCCUAUGCUUGCAUAGGGGGUUGUAGGACCAAGAUGUGAGAUCAAAGAAGAUAGAUGAAAUAGUUGGAAAGCUAUAGUAUAAAGGGUGAUACUCCCGUAAUCGAAAUCUUCAAUGACUCUAUUGGUAUCCUGAGUAGGUCGGAACACGUGAUAUUUUGACUGAAUCUGGGGGGACCACCCUCCAAUCCUAAAUACUACUUACAGAUCGA
rnacentral:rRNA from 1 species